CUAGACUUAACAUCUGAGGCAAAGAUUUACCUGAGCCUUAGUUGGGUUGAGUAGUGUUGUCAGGUGGUUAAUCAUCUUGGGAUUAUGGAGGGAACCACCCACUCGGACACUCCACGACGGUUCCAAGAGAGAAGAUUGAGCAGAGAAGUGAGAUUCAGAAUCAUGAAAUCAGUGAAGCAAAUGCCUGUAAGAAUGAUUCCCAAGAACAUUAAUCAGUCAUACAGAAGUAGCAAGGUUAUAAACAGACAGAAUAAGUGCUUAAGCCGAUUAGAUCUUACUGUGUGCGAUGCAUCGCCCGUUGUC
rnacentral:lncRNA from 1 species